rnacentral:ncRNA from 1 species
AUUAUGGCAAUGAUUAAGAGGAAACUAGUCGAUUUAGAGACAAAGUGGUUGGUGUAAACUUUGAGGAUUAGUUGGUAGCUUAGGAGCCUUUUUUCUGAAACUAAGUAGGAAAAAUCGGACUUAUUCAAGUUCGUUAACAACAUGGAAUAAGAGGGGCUUAAAAGCCCAAUUUAGGUGGUACCGCGAAGCACUUCGUCCUAUGU